GGAGGAAAGCAGGGGAUCGCAAGACCUUGCGCUCAUUGAGCGGCCGAUGCCUGAUUAGCUAGUUGGUGAGGUAAAGGCUUACCAAGGCGACGAUCAGUAGCUGGUCUGAGAGGACGACCAGCCACACUGGGACUGAGACACGGCCCAGACUCCUACGGGAGGCAGCAGUGGGGAAUUUUGGACAAUGUGGGAAACCCUGAUCCAGCCAUGCCGCGUGAGUGAAGAAGGCCUUCGGGUUGUAAAGCUCUUUCAGCCGGAACGAAACGGUCACGGCUAAUACCUGUGACUACUGACGGUAUCGGAAGAAGAAGCACCGGCUAACUACGUGCCAGCAGCCGCGGGAAUACGUAGGGUGCGAGCGUUAAUCGGAAUUACUGGGCGUAAAGCGUGCGCAGGCGGUUUUGUAAGUUAGAAGGGAAAUCCCCGGGCUUAACCUGGGAACUGCGUUUUUUAAAAGAAGGCUAGAAGGGC
rnacentral:rRNA from 1 species